ensembl:lncRNA RDH10-AS1 RDH10 antisense RNA 1
GCAGGUAUUAAAUGACUAAUCCAGAUCCCCAGCACCACAUCAAGAAGGAAAACAGCACAUGCCAACGUCAACACAUCUUUGAAAAGUUGCCACCAACGCUUCGCAUAAGAGGACUACUGGAAGGGAAGCUGAAUUCAGGGUCCUAUUAGGGUGAUAUUUGCGAGGCACUGUCUAACCCGAGAGAGUCCCGAAGCGUCCUGCAACAGGAAGAUGCCCUGGACCCAAUGGAUGGUCAGGAGAUGCGAAGUAACUGCCAGGGUGGCCUGGGCACUCCCAACAGACCACAAAUGUUGAUUUCAGAAUCUUUGGCACUUUCCAAAAUGUGGCUGAGCAGUAAUUUGGAAGCCUAAAUCCUGACUUUAGAAAUUCAUAAGAACAACCAAUGUUUUAUAAACUCAACAGAAAGUAAAAUAAACAAACCCAGGGUUUU